UACGUAGGGUGCAAGCGUUGUCCGGAAUUAUUGGGCGUAAAGAGCUCGUAGGCGGUCUGUCACGUCGGCUGUGAAAACCCGAGGCUCAACCUCGGGCCUGCAGUCGAUACGGGCAAACUAGAGUACUGCAGGGGAGACUGGAAUUCCUGGUGUAGCGGUGAAAUGCGCAGAUAUCAGGAGGAACACCGGUGGCGAAGGCGGGUCUCUGGGCCGAAACUGACGCUGGAGGAAGCGAAAGCGUGGGGAGCAAACAGG
rnacentral:rRNA from 1 species